AUACGAAGGGGGCUAGCGUUGUUCGGAAUUACUGGGCGUAAAGCGCGCGUAGGCGGAUUGGUCGGUUAGGGGUGAAAUCCCAGGGCUUAACCCUGGAACUGCCUCUAAUACUGCCAGUCUUGAGUUCGGGAGAGGUGAGUGGAAUUCCUAGUGUAGAGGUGAAAUUCGUAGAUAUUAGGAAGAACACCAGUGGCGAAGGCGGCUCACUGGCCCGAUACUGACGCUGAGGCGCGAAAGCGAGGGGAACAAACAGGAUUAGAAACCCUAGUAGUCC
rnacentral:rRNA from 1 species